GACGAACGCUGGCGGCGUGCUUAACACAUGCAAGUCGAACGGUAAGGCCCUUCGGGGUACACGAGUGGCGAACGGGUGAGUAACACGUGGGUGAUCUGCCCUGCACUUCGGGAUAAGCCUGGGAAACUGGGUCUAAUACCGGAUAGGACCCUGGGAUGCAUGUCCUGGGGUGGAAAGCUUUUGCGGGGUGGGAUGGGCCCGCGGCCUAUCAGCUAGUUGGUGAGGUAAUGGUUCACCAAGGCAACGAUCAGUAUCCGGUCUGAGAGGACGGUCGGACACACUGGAACUGAGACACGGUCCAGACUCCUACGGGAGGCAGCAGUGGGGAAUUUUUGGCAAUGGGGGCAACCCUGACCAAGCAACGCCGCGUGGGUGAUGAAGUCUCUUGGGACGUAAAACCCUUUCGACGGGGACGAAACCGCAAGGUUGACGGUACCCGUAGAAGAAGCCCCGGCUAACUCCGUGCCAGCCGCCGCCGUAA
rnacentral:rRNA from 1 species